AUGGGCGUCCCAGCAAGACGGCCCUGUGCACGCCGCCUUGUGUCGGCUCAGGGUCACGACGAGAAGGGCGUUUCGAAUGUCGCAUCGGUUGGUGGAGUGGGUGUAACGGCAGCUCCCUGGAGGCGGGCCGUGACGGAGGCCGACAGGACGGGGCUGGCGGGUGCAUCCGGACGACCGUGCCCAGGCGCCCAGGUCCCUCCAGGUGGCCGGGAGCCACAGGGACCGGUCUAUGCGUCCUCGGGUGUCUCUGCCCCCCGAUCCACGCGUCCUCGGGUGUCUCUACCCCCCGAUCUACGCGUCCUCGGGUGUCUCUGCCCCCCGAUCUACACGUCCUCGGGUGUCUGCCCCCUGAUCUACGCGUCCUCGGGUGACCUCUGCCCCCCGAUCUACGCGUCCUCGGGUGUCUCUGCCCCCCGAUCUACGCGUCCUCGGGUGACCUCUGCCCCCCGAUCUACACGUCCUCGGGUGUCUCUGCCCCCCGAUCUACGCGUCCUCGGGUGUCUCUGUCCCCCGAUCUACGCGCCCUCAGGUGUCCUCUGCCCCCCGAUCUACGCGUCCUCGGGUGUCUCUGUCCCCCGAUCUACACGUCCUUGGGUGUCUCUGCCCCCCGAUCUACGCGUCCUCGGGUGUCUCUGUCCCCCGAUCUACGUGCCCUCAGGUGACCUCUGCCCCCUGAUCUAUGCAUCCUCUGCCCCCCGAUCUACACGUCCUCAGGUGACCUCUGCCCCCCGAUCUACAUGUCCUCGGGUGUCUUCUGCCCUCCGCAACCCAGCCCCUUUGGAGGACACUGGUGGAAGGGACCCUGUGGCCCCCAAGCUGCUGUCACUCCCAGCACAGGUCCCGGGGAGCCCCUUCCGGAGGGCGUCUCCCACACAGGGGUACCCAGGGGCUCCCCGCGCUCUGCACACGCACACAGCCCGACUAACUCCCUUGGGUGAAACACCUGGACUUUUUAAGAUACAAAGUAAAGGGAGGCCGGAAACAGUCGCAAACAGUCUCGGCUCUCAAAUAAGCAGGAAGCCUGCAGACAAGACCACCUUCCAGAACCUUCCACAGCCGGCGCCCUGCCUCGAGCACCCCGGGCUCCGCUGA
rnacentral:lncRNA from 1 species